CGCACUCACCCCGCCUCCCUCUCCUCUUCCUCUUCCCCUAGCGCCGCCGCACCCGCGCCUCCCUCUCCCCCUAGCGUCGCCCGCACCCGCGCCUCCCUCUCCUCCUCUCGCCCCUAGCGCCGCCACCACUUCCUCCUUCCCCAUCGCCGCCUGGCCUCCUCCCCUCACGUUCUCCUCUUUCCACCCUUCCGAUCUGGCGCCGCCCAAACCCUAACGCCCCGGCCCGGCCCCGGCUCCCACAGGAGGGAAGGAGGAAUGGCGUGGCGAGGCAAAGCCGCACCCGAGGCUGACCAGUAGGCCUCCGCCAAGGCCGCGCCCAAGGCUGACCAGUAGGCCACGGUCACCAAGCGCCCGCACAAGGGAACCACGUCGGGGAAGAAGAAGCCGGCGCCCAAGUCCGUUGCUGCUGCACGCCCUCUCUAGCCGCCUCUCAUCGUCCUCACGUUCGGCAGAAGGAGGACGAGGACGUUGAGCGGACAUGGGCUAUCACUCUCUCCGCGGGCGAGCUCGAGCGCUAGAGCAUUAGCGAGGACCUCCGCGAGUUCGUCAACGGCAUGACCGUAAUCACCUUCCGUGACUUCCCCCUUGCAAGAUGUGUUGGAGCCGUCGGAUGUGUCCACGUUGUUGAAUGUGCCUCAGCAUCUGAACGAAUGGCAGGCUAGGGAUACCACUCACGUCCUCUCGCCCGUCAGGAUUUUGUUUCCAUUAACCAUUUCAGUCAUGGGAGAUUUGGUUUAUGUGGCUCUCCAUCGAUGGAAUGCCGAUGAAUGCACAUAUGAACAUACAUACAUAGUUCUGUUUUGCUUUAGAAUUCAGUGUCAGGUACCAUCCCUCCAUGAGGUUUUAUCCAGUGUCUUUCUCUUUCCUUAAUAAUUGUUGCACUUUUGAUUGAAGAAAACUCUAUGGUGGUUGCUGAUUUGGAGCUCAGCUAGGGAUGCUCUAAAUUUCAUGGUUGUUGCUUGAUGUGGAAUAUGCAACUGGAACCGGCGACCAGCCCUUCCUCGCCCUCAGCCUCAACACCACCACUGACGCCUCCAGGAGCAGUGGGGCAUCACCGGUGGCGCCGGCAAGGCAAUGGUUGUGGUUAGGCUUUAGUGUCAGGUUCCUCACAGUUGUAGCUGUUGGGGAAACACUGCUAUGCUCGCUAUCCGGUGGUGGGGUUUGGGCAUGCCACUUGUGCUCCUUCGGAUUGGCAUCGAUGCCUCCACGCUCGGAGUCUGCUGUAUCUACGGGUUUCUAGGUGUUGUCAUAUGCUCCAGAUUUUAUAUGGCCCAUUGUAUAAGAUGCAGUUUGGAUUAUUAAUCUGGAACAACUAUAUCAUGGAGGUGUUGUUUAAGGUUCCCUUGCUAAUUUUAUCUUAAGCUGCAGUUCUGCAUCUUUGGGAGGUUAGGAGACCAUCAACCGUAAGGAGGAAUAAAAAGAAGUUCAGAAGCCAAGGACCAUCUUCAACCUGAUUUUAGGCAUCCUCAAGUAAAGUUAUGGAAUUGUUGAUUCAAGCUUUAAAAUCCACUCCCUCUGGUGCUCCUCGCACGCAUGUCUGCGCCUCCAUCCUCCUCCCCAUCGGGACCAGGCAGGGGAAGGAGGAGUGCGGGCCACAUAGACGACAUGGUGACCGAGCUUAUUGUGGCGCCGUCGCCGUUCCUUUGGACGCGGUAGAAGGUGCGAUGGCAAAAGAGAGAGGAGAGGAGGUCCAGCCAUCUGCGGUGCUGCGCCACCGUCUAGAACGAGAUGCUCAUCCUGCUGCUCCACAACAUGGCAGUGUGCAGCUUGCAGAGGCAGACUUCGGGUUGGCAUGGUCGUGCUCCCUCCUAGCUUUUCCGCUUUAGGGAUGAGAGGGCUUUCUAACUGUAAUGAUGUUCUAGCUAGGAGAAGACGAACUUGCAAACAUAAGAGCCAGGUGACGAUGAAUAUUUAUUUUGGGACGACGAUUUUAAUGAUGUUCCAGCUAGGAGAGGCAGACUCACAAACACAUAUGUUAUAGACGAACAGUAAAUAUCGUUUCUCUUCACAAGCAUUAGGACUUGAUUUUGGUAAAUCAUGUUACCAUUUCUGUGACCUCGGCAUUUGGAUGACAUGCCAUCUGAAUCGUCUAUCAUAACUGAACCAUUACUAUCACAAGCAUCUUACUUUCAGAAAUUCAUAUGAUGGUUCAGUUGUCUAUAUUAUGUGUGCUAUUUGUUACCUCUGAAAUAUAUAUUAUGUGUGCCC